UAUAUAUAUAUAUGUGUGUGAUUAUGUACACGCCACGGGAAUGUUUGAUUAUUAAACGUUUGCUGUGUAGAUUGAAAGUUACAGAAGUGAGUGAUCCUUAAGGUAAUGCAUCAUGGGAAUACUUGGUUAUUAAUCGUUCGCUAGGUUGAAAAUUGUACGGGGGUGAUCAUACCGUGAUGUAUGCGUAUAUCGAAUAAUUA